AGUGAACGCUGGCGGUAGGCCUAACACAUGCAAGUCGAACGGCAGCACAGUAAGAGCUUGCUCUUACGGGUGGCGAGUGGCGGACGGGUGAGGAAUACAUCGGAAUCUACUUUUUCGUGGGGGAUAACGUAGGGAAACUUACGCUAAUACCGCAUACGACCUACGGGUGAAAGCAGGGGAUCUUCGGACCUUGCGCGAUUGAAUGAGCCGAUGUCGGAUUAGCUAAUUGGCGGGGUAAAGGCCCACCAAGGCGACGAUCCGUAGCUGGUCUGAGAGGAUGAUCAGCCACACUGGAACUGAGACACGGUCCAGACUCCUACGGGAGGCAGCAGUGGGGAAUAUUGGACAAUGGGCGCAAGCCUGAUCCAGCCAUACCGCGUGGGUGAAGAAGGCCUUCGGGUUGUAAAGCCCUUUUGUUGGGAAAGAAACGCAGCAGGUUAAUACCCCGCUGUUCUGACGGUACCCAAAGAAUAAGCACCGGCUAACUUCGUG
rnacentral:rRNA from 1 species